AAGAAACUUACUUCAAGAUGGGACUUCUGUGGACUUCAUCUCUUGCCUUCCACCACAAAGGUUGCAAAAGAUGGAGAGCAAAGGCCAUUGAAAUGCAUAGAGAACUGUUGUGGCUAGAAUGUGGGGUCCAGGGACUUCAUUGUUAUACUGGCUGGAGCUGCCAGGAGUUGUAGCCUGAAACAUCCGGAGGGCACCAGGUUGGCAGCGGCUAGAAAUCUCUUAUCAUAGGUAUGGGGAACCCAUGGACUCUAAACUCCAACUAGUCCCAGCCAGCAUGGCCAACAGCAAGGGACAAUGGGAGCUGUAGCUUGGCAACAUGUGGAGGAUGCAAAUCUGUUUUAUCACAAAGUAACAGCCCUAGAAGGUCCCACAUGACAAUCUACCGCAUACGUUUUGAGAUAUGUAUCACAGCUCAUUAAAACACCAUUCUGGAA